rnacentral:rRNA from 1 species
GGUAGCACCCGAAGGCAGUGACGUAACCGUUUUGAGCCUUAUGAGUAAAGUUGCAUCAAUGACUGGGGUGAAGUCUUUUGGGGUAUCUGAUCGCUAUGGGAUUCGUGACUCCACAACGACAACGAUGAUAACUCGCUGUCGGCGAUAUACAGUCGGUGGCCAAGCGAAAGCGAUAAGUUAUCCACCUGGGGAGUACGACCGCAAGGUUGAAACUCAAAGGAAUUGACGGGGGCCCGCACAAGCGGAGGAACAUGUGGUUUAAUUCGAUGAUACGCGAGGAACCUUACCCGGGCUCGAACGGUGCAGGAAUAUGGUAGAGAUAUCAUAGCUAGCAAUAGUCUGUAUCGAGGUGCUGCAUGGUUGUCGUCAGCUCGUGCCGUGAGGUGUCGGCUUAAGUGCCAUAACGAGCGCAACCCUUGUCAUUA